UACGUAGGGGCCGAGCGUUUGUCCGGAAUCAUUGGGCGUAAAGCGCGCGUAGGUGGCCCCAUAAGUCCGCUGUGAAAGUCAAAGGCUCAACCUUUGAAAGCCGGUGGAUACUGUGGGACUAGAGUACGGAAGAGGCGAGUGGAAUUCCUGGUGUAGCGGUGGAAUGCGCAGAUAUCAGGAGGAACACCAAUAGCGAAGGCAGCUCGCUGGGACGUUACUGACACUGAGGCGCGAAAGCGUGGGGAGCGAACAGG
rnacentral:rRNA from 1 species